GUUCCAAACUGAACCCGCGAUCUCCGCUGCCAUAAGAAAAAAGAACCCGCCUAUCUGCGAAAACCAAUCUAGGGCCUUCUCUUGGACGGGUGCACAGGUGAUUAUCGAUCUACCUCAACUCCGGCGGUGCCAAGGCGCGAGCCCCUCUGCUUCGAGCCUUCGAUCCAGCUGCCAGGUGCUUAGAAGUUCGUCUGCUUCCCUCUAAUUCCAGCGCGACAACUAAUCUGCCAGGUACCCCGGAGGCCCAGAGUUCUGCCGCAGCGAUCACAAGACAGCGCCAAGGGAGAGCCGACAGUCCACUGUUUGGCGUGAUUCAGGAUCUACGAUGUAUUUGGUUCGCGAGUCCUAGUUGUGCGCUAACGAGGAGGGUAAGGUGUGCUACUCUUGAUACAUGUCUGCUGGAGCAAGUUGUGCAUUUAAUCAAUAUAUGGAAUGUGAAGCAACGUUACACUCGUGAAAAGAAUCAUGACAUCUAUGCAUGGCAUCGAGGGAGAUGAUAUCUAUGGCGCAGGUAUUAAGGGUGGCUAUGGUUACGACGACAAGUGUUAUGAUCCAUAUAACGAUGGUGUGAUGAUAGCUUUGCUGAUGUCGGUGAACAUUGGUGAUGAGUCUAGUGGCCUUUCAAGUCAUGCAACAACGCAAGCCGUUCAGCUUUUGGAAAUUUUGGCUUAUGCCAAAUGUUCAGACCAUUAUUUUUCUUUUGCAUUUGACAUUUCCUAGAUGGAUCAUAUACAUUGCGGUGUUACUCUAAAUAUGGUAUACGCUAUUUGGUCAUGUUGUAAUA